CGGUUGAAGGGGCGUGCCUGGAGAGCACGUGUACUGGCAACGGUACCGUGGGUUCGAAUCCCACCCUCUCCGCCAUUUUUUUGUCUCCUGUCCGCAGUUGAGCAUGGGGCCGGGACCUGCGCAACAUGGGCUUACAAACCCCGCCAGGUCCGGAAGGAAGCAGCGGUAAGUAAUCCCCCGUGUGUGCCGUAGAUUCACCUUGUCCUGUCUCAACUGCGCAGAGGAGAUAAGCAGCAACAG
rnacentral:SRP_RNA from 1 species